GAUGAACGCUGGCGGCGUGCUUAACACAUGCAAGUCGAACGUGAGAAUAGCAAUAUUUGAAAGUGGCAAACGGGUGAGUAACACGUGGGAACCUGCCCUGGAGUGGGGGAUAACGACUGGAAACGGUCGCUAAUACCGCACAGUUCUACUCUAUCGGGAGUUGAGUAGAUAAAGAUUUAUCGCUCUGGGAGGGGCCCGCGGCCGAUUAGCUAGUUGGUGAGGUAAUGGCUCACCAAGGCAAUUAUCGGUAGCUGGUCUGAGAGGACGAUCAGCCACAUGGGAACUGAGACACGGUCCCAACUCCUACGGGGGGCAGCAGUGAGGAAUAUUGGGCAAUGGGCGAAAGCCUGACCCAGCAACGCCGCGUGGAGGAUGAAGGCUUUAGGGUCGUAAACUCCUUUUGUGGGGGAAAAGUAAGGAUGGUACCCCAAGAAUAAGUCACGGCUAACUACGUG
rnacentral:rRNA from 1 species